rnacentral:rRNA from 1 species
UAACGGGUGAGUAAAGCCUAGAAAUCUGCCUGAUAGUGGGGGAUAACGUUCGGAAACGGACGCUAAUACCGCAUACGUCCUACGGGAGAAAGCAGGGGACCUUCGGGCCUUGCGCUAUCAGAUGAGCCUAGGUCGGAUUAGCUAGUUGGUGAGGUAAUGGCUCACCAAGGCGACGAUCCGUAACUGGUCUGAGAGGAUGAUCAGUCACACUGGAACUGAGACACGGUCCAGACUCCUACGGGAGGCAGCAGUGGGGAAUAUUGGACAAUGGGCGAAAGCCUGAUCCAGCCAUGCCGCGUGUGUGAAGAAGGUCUUCGGAUUGUAAAGCACUUUAAGUUGGGAGGAAGGGCAUUAACCUAAUACGUUAGUGUUUUGACGUUACCGACAGAAUAAGCACCGGCUAACUCUGUGCCAGCAGCCGCGGUAAUACAGAGGGUGCAAGCGUU